rnacentral:rRNA from 1 species
UACGAAGGGGACUAGCGUUGUUCGGAAUCACUGGGCGUAAAGCGCACGUAGGCGGAUUCGUAAGUCAGGGGUGAAAUCCCGGGGCUCAACCUCGGAACUGCCUUUGAUACAGCACGUCUUGAGUCCGAUAGAGGUGGGUGGAAUUCCUAGUGUAGAGGUGAAAUUCGUAGAUAUUAGGAAGAACACCGGUGGCGAAGGCGGCCCACUGGAUCGGUACUGACGCUGAGGUGCGAAAGCGUGGGGAGCAAACAGG